rnacentral:rRNA from 1 species
CCCGGGUCUUGUACACACCGCCCGUCAAGCCACCUGAAUCGGAAGUACCCUAAAUCGCUGAUCUAACCCGCAAGGGGGAAGGCGCCUAAGGUAAAGCUGGUGAGGAGGGCU